rnacentral:rRNA from 1 species
AUUGAACGCUGGCGGCAUGCUUUACACAUGCAAGUCGAACGGCAGCGCGGGCUUCGGCCUGGCGGCGAGUGGCGAACGGGUGAGUAAUGCAUCGGAACGUGCCCAGUAGUGGGGGAUAGCCCGGCGAAAGCCGGAUUAAUACCGCAUACGACCUGAGGGUGAAAGCGGGGGACCGAAAGGCCUCGCGCUAUUGGAGCGGCCGAUGUCGGAUUAGCUAGUUGGUGGGGUAAAGGCUUACCAAGGCGACGAUCCGUAGCUGGUCUGAGAGGACGACCAGCCAACCGGGGACUGGGACCCGGCCCAGACCCCGACGGGAGGCAGCAGGGGGGAAUUUUGGAAAAGGGGGGCAACCCUGAUCCAGCCAUGCCGGGGGCGGGAAGAAGGCCUUCGGGUUGGAAACCGCUUUUGUUCGGGAAGAAAUCCUUUGGGCUAAGACCCCGGGGGGAUGACGGUACCGGAAGAAUAAGCACCGGCGAAAUACGG